AAGUCGUAACAAGGUUUCCGUAGGUGAACCUGCGGAAGGAUCAUUAUUGAGAUUUAUAAGGAGACAUGCGAAAUUCUUGUCUUUGGAUAAGUUUUUUAGCAUCUCCUUUCUCUUCUUCACCCCUUUUGUUAUUAUUUUCUCCAGUUGCUUUGGCAAGGGAAGGUUUUACUACUCUCUCCCUUGCCAAGGGACCUUUUUAAACUCAUUUUUAUUAUCCAAUAAUCGGGAUGUCUUUUUGUCUGAUUUAUUAUGACUUUGAAUAAGUACAUAAAACUUUCAACAACGGAUCUCUUGGUUCUG
rnacentral:misc_RNA from 1 species